AUUGAACGCUGGCGGCAUGCCUUACACAUGCAAGUCGAACGGCAGCACGGGUGCUUGCACCUGGUGGCGAGUGGCGAACGGGUGAGUAAUACAUCGGAACAUGUCCUGUAGUGGGGGAUAGCCCGGCGAAAGCCGGAUUAAUACCGCAUACGAUCUACGUAUGAAAGCGGGGGCCCUUCGGGCCUCGCGCUAUAGGGUUGGCCGAUGGCUGAUUAGCUAGUUGGUGGGGUAAAGGCCUACCAAGGCGACGAUCAGUAGCUGGUCUGAGAGGACGACCAGCCACACUGGGACUGAGACACGGCCCAGACUCCUACGGGAGGCAGCAGUAGGGAAUUUUGGACAAUGGGCGAAAGCCUGAUCCAGCAAUGCCGCGUGUGUGAAGAAGGCCUUCGGGUUGUAAAGCACUUUUGUCCGGAAAGAAAUCCUUGGCCCUAAUACGGUCGGGGGAUGACGGUACCGGAAGAAUAAGCACCGGCUAACUACGUG
rnacentral:rRNA from 1 species